ACGUGGGUGGCUCAGUCAGUUGAGCGUCUGACUUCGGCUCAGGUCAUGAUCUCGCUGUCUGUGAGUUCCAGCCCCACGUC
rnacentral:tRNA from 1 species